rnacentral:misc_RNA from 1 species
UACGAAUCGUGCGAACGUUGUUCGGAAUCACUGGGCUUAAAGGGCGCGUAGGCGGGUGGCCAAGUCCGAGGUGAAAUCCCACAGCUCAACUGUGGAAUUGCCCCGGAUACUGGUCACCUCGAGGGAGGUAGGGGCGUGUGGAACGUUUGGUGGAGCGGUGAAAUGCGUUGAUAUCAAACGGAACUCCGGUGGCGAAGGCGACACGCUGGGCCUCUUCUGACGCUGAGGCGCGAAAGCCAGGGUAGCGAACGGG